rnacentral:rRNA from 1 species
CCUACGGGUGGCAGCAGUGGGGAAUAUUGGACAAUGGGGGAAACCCUGAUCCAGCGACGCCGCGUGAGUGAAGAAGUAUUUCGGUACGUAAAGCUCUAUCAGCAGGAAGGAAAAUGACGGUACCUGAAUAAGAAUCACCGGCUAACUACGUGCCAGCAGCCGCGGUAAUACGUAAGGGGCAAGCGUUAUCCGGAUUUACUGGGUGUAAAGGGAGUGUAGACGGCAGCGCAGGUCUGGAGUGAAAUGCCGAAGCUUAACUGCGGAACUGCUUGGGAAACUGUCGAACUAGAGAGCGGGAGGGGUAAGCGGAAUGCCUAGUGUAGCGGUGAAAUGCGUAGAUAUUAGGAGGAACACCGGUGGCGAAGGCGGCUUACUGGACCGUAACUGACGUUGAGGCUCGAAAGCGUGGGGAGCAAACAGGAUUAGAUACCCGGGUAGUC